GACGAACGCUGGCGGCGUGCCUAAUACAUGCAAGUUGAGCGCUGAAGGUUGGUACUUGUACCAACUGGAUGAGCAGCGAACGGGUGAGUAACGCGUGGGGAAUCUGCCUUUGAGCGGGGGACAACAUUUGGAAACGAAUGCUAAUACCGCAUAAAAACUUUAAACACAAGUUUUAAGUUUGAAAGAUGCAAUUGCAUCACUCAAAGAUGAUCCCGCGUUGUAUUAGCUAGUUGGUGAGGUAAAGGCUCACCAAGGCGAUGAUACAUAGCCGACCUGAGAGGGUGAUCGGCCACAUAGGGACUGAGACACGGCCCAAACUCCUACGGGAGGCAGCGGUAGGGAAUCUUGGGCAAUGGACGAAAGUCUGACCGAGCAACGCCGCGGGGGGGAAGAAGGUUUUCGGAUCGUAAAACUCUGUUGGUAGAGAAGAACGUGGGUGGGAGUGGAAAGCUCCGCAAGUAACGGAAAUUACCCAGAAAGGGACGCCUAACUACGU
rnacentral:rRNA from 1 species